rnacentral:rRNA from 1 species
ACGGAGGGUGCAAGCGUUAAUCGGAAUUACUGGGCGUAAAGCGCGCGCAGGCGGUUGUGCAAGACAGAUGUGAAAUCCCCGGGCUUAACCUGGGAACUGCAUUUGAGACUGCACAGCUAGAGUGUGGGAGAGGGGGGUAGAAUUCCAGGUGUAGCGGUGAAAUGCGUAGAGAUGUGGAGGAAUACCGAUGGCGAAGGCAGCCCCCUGGGAUAACACUGACGCUCAUGCGCGAAAGCGUGGGGAGCAAACAG